AAGUCGUAACAAGGUUUCCGUAGGUGAACCUGCGGAAGGAUCAUUAACGAGUUAGGGUCUUCUAGGCCCGACCUCCCAACCCUAUGUUUAUUGUACCAUUGUUGCUUCGGUGGGUCCGUCUAACGACCGCCGGGGGACCGCCGCGAGGCCCCCCUGGCCAGCACCCGCCGAUAGCCAAAUUUAAACCCUUAUGAAUCGUGUCUUAUGUCUAAAUCAUGAUUAAAAAUCAAAACAAAACUUUCAACAACGGAUCUCUUGGUUCUGGCAUCGAUGAAGAACGCAGCGAAAUGCGAUAAGUAAUGCGAAUUGCAGAAUUCCAGUGAGUCAUCGAAUCUUUGAACGCACAUUGCGCCCUUUGGUAUUCCGAAGGGCAUGCCUGUUCGAGCGUCAUUAUCACCCCUCAAGCCCCGUGCUUGGUGUUGGACGGCCGGUCGAGGCCCCCUCGACCCCUCCUAAAGAUAAAGACGGCGACCUGUGGUUCCCCCGGUACACUGAGCUUCUCACCGAGCACGUAUUGGACAAGGGCGCCCAGGACCCGGUCUUCUCCUCUCACGAGGAAAUUUUUCUCAAGGUUGACCUCGGAUCAGGUAGGAAUACGCGCUGAACUUA
rnacentral:rRNA from 1 species